rnacentral:rRNA from 1 species
AUAUUGGGCAAUGGAUGCAAGUCUGACCCAGCCAUGCCGCGUGCCGGAAGAAGGCCCUCAGGGUUGUAAACGGCUUUUAUUCGGGAAGAAGAGCAGGGAUGCGUCCUUGUGUGACGGUACCGAAUGAAUAAGCACCGGCUAACUCCGUGCCAGCAGCCGCGGUAAUACGGAGGGUGCGAGCGUUGUCCGGAUUUAUUGGGUUUAAAGGGUGCGUAGGUGGCUUUAUAAGUCAGUGGUGAAAUACAGCCGCUCAACGGUUGAGGUGCCAUUGAUACUGUAGAGCUUGAAACAAUUGGAGGCUGCCGGAAUGGAUGGUGUAGCGGUGAAAUGCAUAGAUAUCAUCCAGAACACCGAUUGCGAAGGCAGGUGGCUACGUUUGAUUUGACACUGAGGCACGAAAGCAUGGGGAGCAAACAGG